GCGAUAGAGUUUGAUCAUGGCUCAGGACGAACGCUGGCGGCAGGCCUCAAACAUGCAAGUCUAGGGGGUGUAGCAAUACAUCACCGGCGGACGGGUGCGUAACACGUGGGAAUGUACCUUUUGGUUCGGAACAACGCAGGGAAACUUGCGCUAAUACCGGAUGUGCCCGUAAGGGGAAAGAUUUAUCGCCAAAGGAUCAGCCCGCGUAGGAUUAGCUAGUUGGUGAGGUAAUGGCUCACCAAGGCUCCGAUCCUUAGCUGUUCUGAGAGGAAGAUCAGCCACACUGGGACUGAGACACGGCCCAGACUCCUACGGGAGGCAGCAGUUGGGAAUCUUGGACAAUGGGGGAAACCCUGAUCCAGCCAUGCCGUGUGAGUGAUGAAGGCCUUCGGGUUGUAAAACUCUUUCGACGGGGACGAUAAUGACGGUACCCGUAGAAGAAGCUCCGGCUAACUUCGUGCCAGCAGCCGCGGUAAUAA
rnacentral:rRNA from 1 species